GGGCCUGUAGUUCAACGGAUAGAAUAAGAGCCUUCUAAGCUCCAGAUCAAGGUUCGAUUCCUUGCAGGCCUACCA
rnacentral:tRNA from 1 species